rnacentral:rRNA from 1 species
GACGAACGCUGGCGGCGUGCUUAACACAUGCAAGUCGAACGGAAAGGCCCUGCUUUUGUGGGGUGCUCGAGUGGCGAACGGGUGAGUAACACGUGAGUAACCUGCCCCUGACUUUGGGAUAACUUAAGGAAACUGGGGCUAAUACCGGAUAGGAGCUCCUGCUGCAUGGUGGGGGUUGGAAAGUUUCGGCGGUUGGGGAUGGACUCGCGGCUUAUCAGCUUGUUGGUGGGGUAGUGGCUUACCAAGGCUUUGACGGGUAGCCGGCCUGAGAGGGUGACCGGCCACAUUGGGACUGAGAUACGGCCCAGACUCCUACGGGAGGCAGCAGUGGGGAAUAUUGCACAAUGGGCGGAAGCCUGAUGCAGCAACGCCGCGUGCGGGAUGACGGCCUUCGGGUUGUAAACCGCUUUCGCCUGUGACGAAGCGUGAGUGACGGUAAUGGGUAAAGAAGCACCGGCUAACUACGUG